CGUGCGUGAUUGCGCGCGCACGAUUGGCAGCUCCACGUCGACAUUCUUCCAACUGCCGCGCGGACGCGCACGCGGCGUGCAAGCGCUUCAUCAACAGUUUGCGCGAGCGUCAUCCGCUGAAGCAGCGAGCGAAGUCCUCGGGGGCUUUGACAGAGACGACCACCGGCUCGAGGCAGGGCGCAGUGUACUCAGGGUCGGCCGUCUCGUGACUUGCAGCAGCAGAGGGCCCUGCUGAAAAGUUUCACUGAGAAGGAAAACUCUCGAGCAGCGCUGUGGCUUUCCAAGUAAAGUUCUGUGAUACACUCAGACUCUAAUUGUUUGCAGUCAGUGCAUUACAGAACUUUGUUUUGGGAGUUUAAAGCUCAAGCCUGGAGGAAGCAAUCAUUCCAUCUGGAUGAAGCUGUAACAAAACAGCAGUAAACCCCGCAUCCUGCGCCCCUCAACAACACGCACAAAUAAAUCACAUCAUCAUCAUCAUCAUCAUCACCUCCCGCCUUUACGUGAUCGUUAGCUUUAACUGCUGAAGAACACCGGAAGCACGAGCGAACAUCCUUUUAAGUUUGGGGCUCGCUGACACACAGAUGCAGUUGUGUGUUAUUUAUAUGACCCUGUUUCCUGCAUGCGUCCUCCAAGCGCUCAAUUAGCAUAGCGGAGGCUCUGCCGCAACUGCUCAACGUCUAAAAAUACCCGUUGCACGGUAACGCGCCGCUUUUCAGUCAGGCAUCCCAUCCCGUAACCUCCGCGAACGCAAAAAUGUGGCACUCUCCAUCGUCGUAAAAGGCGUGCGUCUCACUCUCAGCAGGGAGAGCACUUUGUGAUGACAUCAUCGGCCCACAGGAGGCAGGCGAGCGCUCGUCUGGGUCACUCUCACGGUCACGUGACUCAGAAGGACACAGGUUAUGGCACUGUAAGUGGGUUAACAGGCCUGACACGCGUUUCUCUUCUGAGAGGACGCAGGCGGGUUCUCAGUCAUGAACGUGUGUCUGAAACACUGCCUUCUGAAAUACCGUGCAACACGCAAAAAGUGUGCGUCUGGGAAAUAAGUGUGAGAAGUUUCGUUCAAGCGCAGUGAAAGUGCAUCUGCGACCGAUUAGUUGAGAGCAUGCAGAUCCCGUUUAACCCAUGAGGGUGCUCCGGAUAAACACACUGAUGGACUGCUGACACGCGUCUCAUUAAGUGUAUUUCAUAUUUCAUUUCAUAUUCUUUCAGAGAUUUAAUUGACCGUAUUUGGCAUCCAAGAGUGUAGUUUACCUGAAGAAAACCUUUUGUGUGUUGAACUGAAUUGUGGUUCGUCACACCUGCAGUUUUUAAAGAAACUUUCUUAAUGGAAUGAGUGUGUUAGUGUUUCGAGCGAAAUAAAACUGUUCAGAAUGUA